UGGACUAGCCUCUAGUGAAUCUGUUGUUCCGCCAGGGGCAUUGCAGAGUAGCUACGCUGGGAAUAGAUAAGCGCUGAAAGCAUCUAAGUGCGAAACUAGCCACGAGAUGAGAAUUCCAUAUAGGACCGUAGCAGACUACUACGUUGAUAGGCUACAGAUGUAAAGCUGGCGACAGCACAGUCGAGUAGUACUAAUCAUCCGAAGCUUUCAAA
rnacentral:rRNA from 1 species